rnacentral:misc_RNA from 1 species
GAUGAAGAACGUAGCAAAAUGCGAUAAGUAAUGUGAAUUGCAGAAUUCAGUGAAUCAUCGAAUCUUUGAACGCACAUUGCGCCCGCCAGUAUUCUGGCGGGCAUGCCUGUUCGAGCGUCAUUUCAACCCUCAAGCCCUCGGGUUUGGUGUUGGGGAUCGGCGAGCCUUUCUGGCAAGCCGGCCCCGAAAUCUAGUGGCGGUCUCGCUGCAGCCUCCAUUGCGUAGUAGUAAAACCCUCGCAACUGGAACGCGGCGCGGCCAAGCCGUUAAACCCCCAACUUCUGAAUGUUGACCUCGGAUCAGGUAGGAAUACCCGCUGAACUUAAGCAUAUCAAUAAGCGGGGA